rnacentral:lncRNA from 1 species
GUACCAAGGCCUUGGAGAAGAUCACCGAGAGCGUGGAAUAAUUUUCCAUAUGUAUUUUUACUUUUUUAUACAUUUCUAUAUGUAUUGCUGGAGAGAUGAACUCUCUCUCUAUAUAUAUAUAUUUUUUAUUUUCAAGAUACAUUCAAGUUUUCUUUAAUUAGAUUAAAUUUCGUACAGAAAUGACCCGCAAGAAUCGUUGAUCUGUACAUUGAAAAUGCAAAAACACUGAAAAUAAUAAUGUAAAAACACUGAAAAUAAUAAUGCAAAAAAUUGAAAAUAAUAAUGCAAGAUACACUGGAAAAAAGUGAGUUUGAUUACAAGUCACUGUGGGUCCCGCUUUGGAUAAAGGAAGGAAAAAAAACCGAAAAAAAUGGGCAGUAGCUUGUCAGAUAGGCUUAGAACCUGCCAUAACUAGCAGUGUCGGGCGCCUUGGGGCCGACAAUGAUACCAAACAUUUUAAAAUCAAAAUUUCAACGAUAUAUGUUUGUAAAUUCGUUGAGUUCUUGCUUCGAGAGUCGUUUCUUGCCAGCCUCUUUCUUCUAGAGUUGAUGUGAGGGGCUAUUCGGUUGUUGAU